rnacentral:rRNA from 1 species
AAAAACAUAACCCUAUGUAAGUUUAUAGGGCAAUUUCUGCUCAGUGAUUAUUAAAUAGCCGCAGUACCCUGACUGUGCAAAGGUAGCAUAAUCAGUUGGCCUUUAAUUGGGGUCUGGAAUGAACGAAGAUUUGGGUAAUAGCUGUCUUUAUAUGGUAAGCAAAACUUGCUUAGUAAGUGAAAAUUCUUACAUGAUAAGAAAGACGAGAAGACCCUAGAAAUUUUUUGAAAAACACUUAAAGUUAUCAUUUUGUUGGGGCGACAGAAUUGCAGUAAACCUAUUUUGUUAACUCGAAUUUUAUAAAAAGAAAGGGUAAAUUACUCUAGGGAUAACAGCAUAAUUAAAACUUAGUUUGUGACCUCGAUGUUGGACUAGGAAGGGAGCUGCCCAGAAGGCAGUUCUUCUUGCUCUGUUCGAGCAGUA